UACAAAUGCGCCCAUGAUACGAAGAUAGCGUAGGCACCAGGCGCAUAGUUGUCUUGUCCCGUACCAAAGCGCGCGCAAAAGAAGCAAAUUCCUCUUGCUACUUACCAUCUCCGAUAAAUUAUUCCUCCGUCUCCGAGAGCGAGGAGAGGGGCUCGCAAAAGGUGCGCCUCCCUGGCGCCCUCCCCACGAGCCAUCUCUCCUCUCAUAAUUGUUUGAUUUCCCUUCGGGAUACGGCCUCCAGUCUCGCCGUCCCCCCGCCCCGCGCCGCCAGAUCCCCCCGCCCCGUGAAACCGUCGUCCGGGAAAGGUGGUGGUGGUGGUGGUCUUGGCAAGAUCGGCAGAUGCAGCCCCCCAAAUGGAAGGCCGUGGAGGGCGGCGACCAGCGCCGCCGCUGCGUGGCGGCGUCGCUGUCCAUGCUGAUCGCGGCCACGCUGGCCUUCCUCGCCUACGUCGCCUUCUUCCCGGACGACGGCGCGGGCGGGGUCUACCGCUGGUGGAGCUGCCAGGGUUGCGGGGGCUCCCUGGGCGAGUUCCCGGCCGACGAGGACGCCGCGGCUGACGGGCCCGCCGCCGCCGCCGGCGGCGGCCGCGCGCCCACCACGCUGUCGCACAUCGUGUUCGGCAUCGGCGCCUCGGCGCGCACGUGGGACCAGCGCCGCGGCUACGCGGAGCUCUGGUGGCGGCCCGAGGCGAUGCGCGGCCACGUCUGGCUGGACGAGCAGCCCGCGGGCGCGUGGCCGGCGACGACGUGCCCGCCGUACCGCGUCUCGGCGGACGCGUCCCGGUUCGGGAACCGGGCGUCGGCCUCGCGGAUGGCGAGGAUCGUCGCGGACUCGUUCCUGGCCGUCUCCGCGGAGCUGGCGAACGGCACCGGGCAGGAGGAGGCGCCGCGGUGGUUCGUGAUGGGCGACGACGACACGGUGUUCUUCCCGGAGAACCUGGUGGCCGUGCUGCGCAAGUACGACGACGAGGAGAUGUACUACGUGGGGGCGGCGUCGGAGAGCGUGGAGCGGAGCUCGCCAAGGCCAUCGACGGCUGCCUGGACCGCUACUCGCAGUUCUACGGCAGCGAUCAGCGCGUGCAGGCCUGCCUCAGCGAGCUCGGCGUCCCGCUCACCCGCGAGCCCGGGUUCCACCAGGUGGACAUCCGGGGCGACGCGUACGGGAUGCUGGCGGCCCACCCGGUGGGGCCGGUGGUCUCGCUCCACCACCUGGACCACAUCGAGCCCAUCAGCCCCGUCGGCCACACCCCGCUGGCCGCGGUCCGGCCGCUGGUGAGGGCGGCCCGGUUCGACUCGGCCCGCCUGCUGCAGCAGGCCUUCGGCUACCAGCACGGCCCGGGCUACACCUGGUCCGUCUCCAUCGCGUGGGGCUACACGGUGCAGCUCUACCCGUGGGCCGUGGCGCCGCACGAGCUGGAGGUGCCGCUGCAGACGUUCAAGACCUGGCGGAGCUGGGCCAACGGGCCAUUCGUGUUCAACACCCGGCCCCUGAUGAGCACUGACACCCCGUGCUACCGGCCGGCCAUGUUCUUCCUCAGCCGUGUCCGGAAUGAGACCAGCCGGGGCACCGUGAGCGAGUACUCGAGGCACGCCACCAAGUCGGAGAAGGAGUGCGACCAGGCCAGCUUCCGCGCCGCCUCCACGGUUCACACCGUCAAGGUGUUCGCUCCCAAGAUGAACCAGAACGAGUGGAAACGGGCGCCACGGCGGCAUUGCUGUAAAACAACGAGGACGAGGUGGGGCACGGUGCUGGAGGUGCGGAUACGGUAUUGCAGCCGAGGAGAGCUCACCACGCCGUAGCUAUAUGUAUUGUUCUCGCCACUACAUCACCAGGGCCUACAGGACGGAGAAGAGUAGGAUGUUGAUAUUGGUAGUGAGAGAUAAUAAGGGGAUGGCAAAGGUGAAUAAUCCCCUCCGUGCUCGGAGGGACACGGAAACUUUUUGUUCCCAAACCAGCAGUACCUGGUAACACGUAGACUCUACUUCCCUGCUGGUGCUGGACAAUGUCGUCUUCAGUGUGUCCAGAUGGCUAUAUGACUUAUGCGACAGAUACACGGGCACGUAUACAUACAAAGCAGUGCAGGCGGUAGCAAUGUAUAGGAUCUGGCUACUUCCCACGUGCUGUGUUGCCUCUUUCUUGGUUCUCUGCUACUGAUGUGAUUCUACCGUUGGAAGAUGGCUGUUUUGGAAACGAAAUGGAAUAUAGGUUGAAAGAAAGCA